GACUAACGCUGGCGGCGUGCCUAACACAUGCAAGUCGAACGUGCUGUUAUUUGGUAGCAAUAUUGAGUGACGGGAAGUGGCGAACGGGUGAGUAACACGUAGGUAAUCUACCUCUGAGAUUGGAACAACCCAGGGAAACUUGGGCUAAUGCCGAAUAAGCCCACGCUCCGGGAGGGGUGGGGGAAAAGGAUUGGCGAAAGUAAGUCGCUUGGAGAUGGGCCUGCGGCCUAUCAGCUAGUUGGUGGGGUAAGAGCCUACCAAGGCUAAGACGGGUAGCCGGCCUGAGAGGGUGAACGGCCACACUGGGACUGAGACACGGCCCAGACUCCUACGGGAGGCAGCAGUGAGGAAUUUUCCGCAAUGGGCGCAAGCCUGACGGAGCGACGCCGCGUGAGGGAUGAAGGCUUUCGGGUCGUAAACCUCUUUUGUAAGGGAAAAAGGCGCAAGCUUGAUGGUACUUUAUGAAUAAGCCCCGGCUAACUACGUGCCAGCCGCCGCGGUAA
rnacentral:rRNA from 1 species